CCUACGGGAGGCUGCAGUGGGGAAUAUUGGACAAUGGGGGAAACCCUGAUCCAGCGACGCCGCGUGAGUGAAGAAGUAUUUCGGUACGUAAAGCUCUAUCAGCAGGAAAGAAAAUGACGGUACCUGACUAAGAAGCCCCGGCUAACUACGUGCCAGCAGCCGCGGUAAUACGUAGGGGGCAAGCGUUAUCCGGAUUUACUGGGUGGAAAGGGAGCGUAGACGGCAGCGCAAGUCUGGAGUGAAAUGCCGGGGCCCAACCCCGGAACUGCUCUGGAAACUGUGAAGCUGGAGUGCAGGAGAGGUAAGCGGAAUUCCUGGUGUAGCGGUGAAAUGCGUAGAUAUCAGGAGGAACACCGGCGGCGAAGGCGGCUUACUGGACUGUAACUGACGUUGAGGCUCGAAGGCGUGGGGAGCAAACAGGAUUAGAUACCCCAGUAGUC
rnacentral:rRNA from 1 species